rnacentral:rRNA from 1 species
AGAGGGGUGCGAGCGUUAAUCGGAAUUACUGGGCGUAAAGGGCACGGUAGGUGGAUUUGCAAGUUGGGGUGUGAAAGCCCCGGGCUUAACCUGGGAAUGUCAUCCAAAACUGCAAGUCUAGAGUACAGUAGAGGAAAGUGGAAUUUCCGGUGUAGCGGUGAAAUGCGUAGAUAUCGGAAGGAACACCAGUGGCGAAGGCGACUUUCUGGACUGAUACUGACACUGAGGUGCGAAAGCGUGGGGAGCGAACAGGAUUAGAUACCCUGGUAGUCCACGCCGUAAACGAUGAGAACUAGCCGUUGGAGGCCUUGAGUCUUUAGUGGCGCAGCUAACGCGAUAAGUUCUCCGCCUGGGGAGUACGGCCGCAAGGUUA